GAUGAACGCUGGCGGCGUGCUUAACACAUGCAAGUCGAACGGAAAGGCCCAAGCUUGCUUGGGUACUCGAGUGGCGAACGGGUGAGUAACACGUGGGUGAUCUGCCCUGCACUUCGGGAUAAGCCUGGGAAACUGGGUCUAAUACCGGAUAGGACCACAUUUUGGAUGGUGUGGUGGAAAGUUUUUCGGUGUGGGAUGAGCUCGCGGCCUAUCAGCUUGUCGGUGGGGUAAUGGCCUACCAAGGCGUCGACGGGUAGCCGGCCUGAGAGGGUGUACGGCCACAUUGGGACUGAGAUACGGCCCAGACUCCUACGGGAGGCAGCAGUGGGGAAUAUUGCACAAUGGGCGCAAGCCUGAUGCAGCGACGCCGCGUGGGGGAUGACGGCCUUCGGGUUGUAAACUCCUUUCGCUAGGGACGAAGCGUUAUGUGACGGUACCUGGAGAAGAAGCACCGGCUAACUACGUG
rnacentral:rRNA from 1 species